rfam:Selaginella moellendorffii unplaced genomic scaffold SELMOscaffold_11, whole genome shotgun sequence.
GAUGUGGGGAUUGUUGCCUGGCUCGAGGGAGGCAUUCCUUUGAUCUUUUCUCUCCUGGGAAGUACUCCAGAAGAACUGUGCCAGAAAUGUGCGCUCUCGGACCAGGCUUCAUUCCCCUCAUC